AUGAUCUGGAUGACCAAUGGAUGUCAGUUGACUGCUACCUGGAAGGACUUCAUGGAUCUGCUCCACGUACCUGAUGAGGGGCUCAACACACCCGUUGGUGUUCGCCCUCAUGCCAACCCUGAGUCAGCUAGCAAGAACAGGAUACAGCAGUAUUAUGUUGCGAAGACGCUUCCGAGUGGCAAGACGACAUGGGUGCUGAACCCAUUUCUGGACAUCAUGCAUCGCAUUUUCCGCAACUCUCUUUUCCCUCGCAUUGGUGACAAGGACAAGGUGUGUGCCUAUCUGGUGGAUAUGAUGCUCCUGUGCGAGGAGGAGCGUGUGUCUCGGUCUUAA
rnacentral:rRNA from 1 species